rnacentral:lncRNA from 1 species
CUGGUCCGUCCGCCCUUAGCACGCCGGGGACCUACGGCCAACCCCGCGCCCCAACUUCCCGCCACAAGUUCUCUCUGCACCGGCAAAAAGAGAAACUCCACCCACUUUUCCGCUAACACGUCGGACCCGCUUUUGGCAAACGUGAGUAGAAGGGGACGCCUUGUUCUCACUCCCAGCGGGGAAAAAAGAACCAAACGCGGAAGCAGCGACUCUGCCCGGGCCGGAGCUGAGGCCCGGGGGCUGGGACGGCCCGGAGUCCCCGGCAUCUAACUCCGACGGCAGCCCUUUUCCGAGCGGGGCCGCGGCUCCGGCACUGCAAGCGGAGGUGCCGCCCGCCACCCAAGACCCCAGAGCAAGAGACUGACCGGGCCUCAGGAUCCCCCGUCGCCGGGCCGCGCGCACCGCCUCCUACCUGCCGCUGCGACGAGGCGGAGCCCCCGGGCCUACAGUCCCGCGGGGAGGCGGGCCCAGCACUCGAGCCUGCCCUCCCUAGGACCUGCCUAACUUCUCUCCAGCUGCGUCGGCCUCGCAGUGCAGCGGCCCGCGGAGCCUCACACAGGCCGCAGCCGGUUCCUUUCAGCGGCCUGUCCACGCCCCGGAGACGCCCAGGGGAAGGAGAGGGCGCGGCUACAUGGGGAAUGGGAGCUGUGUUACUACCUCCACCCUGGCCCGCCAGCGUCUGGACGAAGAACCGCCGCCAGACCAGUUUGGGCCUGGUAUCUGUCAUGUUGGUAUCUUAUUGCUACAAAAAGUCUGUCUCGUCAGUCCAAAGUUAACAUCCCUGCAGUAACCAAAAACAUGAGCUGGAUAAGGAGGAGAAGAGGAGCUGGCCGAAUGAUUUUUAAGCAGAAGCUGAAUGUUCAAUAAGAAUAGAGUUGACACCUUCAGAGGAGAAGUAAGAAAUAGUUUUCCUGUGUGUCAUGUAAGUCAUGUUUUUAGGCUUACCUUUCAUGCAAUUGCAACAACAUCCUCUAAGGGUCUUGAACGAACCUUCUAUUCCCCAAAUAUUCCUGACCAUUCCCAAUGACUAUCUCAGAUGUGCUCCAUCACUUUGUCUCUCCUACUGUGAACCUUUUGGUUGGUAUCUACUGUUGACACAUAGCUUACCUAAUGAACUAGGUGGAAGUAUCUGGCUAAUGUUGCUAGCUGCCUUCUUCCACACAGCUCUAUCUCUGACAUUCUGUAGCUUGCAAGGCAUCAAAAUGGACCUGGAUUUUCUGCAGCCCUUAAGACACUUAAACCAAGUUGUGGUCCACACAGAAGCAAAGGCUUCUCUUGUCGCUUUGGGUCACAAUUUCUCUUACUGCUUUACUACUUCCACUACAGGGGCUAACAAAUGUUUUAAUGUAAACAGUGUAUUUAGGUUUUCCUCUAAGUCUCACUGCCAAUUUCAGGACCUAAGCAUGCAGUUGGGAGCUAGUGGACACGACAAGUGAAAGAUAUUAUGUUAUAUUCAGAUUUAUUUUUCUUUAGAUAUCAUAAAAGUAAUUGGACAAACCUAGUCUUCCUGACUUCCCCUUCUGUUACCUGUUAUAUUGAGUUAUCUCACUGAAGACUCCUUGUUAUUUCAGGCAAAUACACUCAGAUGUCUGUGGAUCUAGAAAUGAGUGAAAAAUAUAGAUUCCAGCUGAGAGAUACACAAUUAUCAAAUUCCUUAAGAUAUACCAAUAUUUAAAUCUAUUUAUUAUAAAAUACAUGCUUAUCUGGGGAACAUAGCGAGACCCUGUCUCUACCAAAAAUUAUUAAUAAAAAGUAAAAAAAAUUA